UUUCAGGGUCACCUGAAUGUGGAAAAGUUGAGUUGGAGCAAAACUGGCACGGCCAUACUGGAUGGACCUCAGCAUGACCAGGACACAUUUCAGCUCAAAUCCCCUGUGCCAAGAACACAUUCUGCCAAGGACCACCACCUCUUCCCACAACUAGCAAACUGAUUUUGAACCUCCCAGACUUGAUGUACAUGUUAAUGUUCAGCUAACUCAGCGUUUCCCGAGAUACCACCGGAAUUGAGAAGCUGCCGCUGACCGACAUUUCUGCUGCUCACCACGUCCCUUUGCCUCAUUAAGAACGGCCUGGGAGACCCAGGGGAGUUCUGAAGCAUAGGGUCGCAACUGAGUUGGACUUCAAUUCAUAGAGCUGGCUUACCAGAGCACCGAUGGACUUGGAUACCUGAGAUAUCUGCUUGGGAUCCCACACUUUCAAGGUCUCUCCUCUGGCCUUCUUCUGGUUCUGCGACUCCUUACAGCGCUGGGAGUUGGUGAUGCCAACAGGACAUACGCUCCCAGAGCCUACCUCUCCCAGAUCACUUUAAAAGGCACCCAGGACCCCAGAAUUCUCAUCCUCAAAGGCAUGGAGCUCAGCUCUUGGCCCUCAACAAAUCUCUUCCCCAUAAAGAUCCUUUUGAGAGCUUAGGAUGUCCCCCGGAUGGUUUUGGUUGCAGAUUGUGGUGGUGGAGGGAGCUAUACAAUUUAAUCUAUUGCCAUUAAUUGGAUGCGCUAAUGGCAGAUUGGGUAGUGAUAAUGCCAUAAGAGGUAGUGUGUGAGCCGUGUGCUGCAUCUGUGCUAGCUCAGGUAAGUCAGCACACAGCACCUGCAGCCUCCUCUCACCUCUUCCCUGAGCAGCACCUUUUCACCUGAACAUGCUGAUCCCCUAGUGCUUCAUCUUGACAGCAACUUAACAAGCCCUGGGCAGCUUUUUAAAAUAAAUGACUAUGAUAUUGACUAUGAAUCUACAUAAAAGCCACUUGUUUUUUAGUCAUAAUCUGUGUCUAACUGCAGAAGAAAUUCACACCUUUGAAAAACAAAUAAAAAUGUAAAAAGUGAAAAUUGUUUGUAA
ensembl:lncRNA LINC01501 long intergenic non-protein coding RNA 1501